rnacentral:rRNA from 1 species
UACGUAGGGUGCAAGCGUUGUCCGGAAUUAUUGGGCGUAAAGAGCUCGUAGGCGGCUUAGUAAGUCGGGUGUGAAAACCCCAGGCUCAACCUGGGGACGCCACCCGAUACUGCUAUAGCUAGAGUCCAGUAGGGGAGUGUGGAAUUCCCAGUGUAGCGGUGAAAUGCGCAGAUAUUGGGAGGAACACCAGCGGCGAAGGCGGCACUCUGGGCUGGUACUGACGCUGAGGAGCGAAAGCGUGGGUAGCGAACAGG